GAGAGGCUGACAAAUAGCUGGGGACAUCUGGGGAGGAGAUCCCUGUCAUGUCUCUUGUGCCACAGAGCUAUUAUGGCUGGUCUUCCAUUUGCUAUUUCUUUCUUUAAGAGAAAAUCAUUUUUCUACUUCGCUUUUCUCUCCAUACUUAAAUGGUCAGUAGCUACUGAGUGGUGCUUUAUCUGAACAGGCCUGGGUUGAAGCAAAAUAGAAAUGGGACUGGCUUUCCACAGGAAGUAAACUGCUCCAGAGCCCACAGUCCCCUGCUCAGUGCCCGGAAACUAGUCAGUCAUCCCUGUUGGCAGUAAGUGUUCCCAUAGCCGUUCCAUUAGAGGUUUAACUAGAUAUCUUCAAUAGAAGUCUGAGACAAGUGGGAGUGAGAAAUGGAGGACUAGAUUGGGAGAAUUUUUUUUUUCAUUCUGUUUGCUUAAUUCAUGGUACAGUUUGUGCUAUUUCAUAUUUGUACUCCAGGAAAAAAUAUAACUUAAAAAUACCGUGUCUAAAGAAAUUUCAGUGCUCUAUCAUCAUUAAAUUAUUUACUUACAUGCUUAUAUGACAGUCAUGCUCAGAUGUCACUGUCGUUGGUUUCUUGGGUGUAUUUUCAAUGUGUCUGCUGCUGACUCUCACAUCACUGGGUUUCCUUGCAGGUUUUGUAUUUCAGCUCUGAGCUUGGCUUCAGUGGGAUUGUUCUCUGUGCAGACCUCCCUGUCUUGCCACGGUGUUUGUCUCUACUCACACUCCGUGGGGUUGGCUGUCCCCAUAGCACAGUCCUGUUUGUAGGUCCUGGCCUCCCGUGAUGUACUGCCAAGUGCUACCAGUUCCUCACACUGAUACUGUUCCAACCACAGCCUUGAGAAAGAAGCCUACUCAGCUACAGAGCCAUGUCCACAGGCUGGAUGGAGGCUUUUCAUCCGAGUUCAGAGAGGCAGCCACUUCCUGGGUCUGGGUUUUUCUCAGGCAGCCUGAGUUCAGUUCCCCCAUAUAAAGGUUGCUCAUGGCCUCAACACCUGUCCAGGGUGGGAAUUCACAACUCAGCCUCUGAGGGAGGAAGACCGACAUGCCUUCACCUCCUCCUCCACCCGGCUCAUCUCUUCAGCUGUGGCAUCAGAGAAUGACAUGGCAGAUAGAAGACACUGUGGAUGAACUGAGUGAGGAGUUCUCAUCGACUGCUCAGGCCCUGGAGCUCCAGAAAGAGAAAGACAAGACAGACCCACAGGCCCCUGAUGAAGGCUGCACAUUUGCUGUGGCUCCCAGUGUCUUCCCUUGUGAGUAGCAGGAAGACAGACCUAACCCACGGGAGGCAGGCGACCCAGCCAGAG
rnacentral:lncRNA from 1 species